rnacentral:tRNA from 1 species
AUAUUAGAGUCUGUUUUAAAGUAAGUUUUUGUAAAAAGCUGCAUGAUAUUUUUAUCCUAAUUAU